GGUGGCUCCGAAAGCGGACAGCGGAGAAGGGCUGUGCCAGUCACGUGCGUUUCUUCUCUCCGAAUUUCCUCUCGGUCAGACCACCCCAUCCUCCCUGAGCAGAGGGCGGCACAGCUCAGGGCGUUGCGUGAUGAGCAGACGGAUGCUAUGCGUGCGGAUGGAGCCGCAGUGCCUCACCAGAUGGCUCAGCGCAGUUUUCCAGAGUGUGAACAACGCUAUGAAGGAGAAUGAGCCGAUCCCGAAAAUGGGAAAUAAUGCAACAGAGGACACGAACACUCAUCAGCCAUCUGAGACGGGUGGACGGAAGCAAAAGCCUAGCGCCAGAAGGAAACCUGGGAACGGGCCUGGUUCACCCCUUGGCUCCCGGACCACACCUAAACCCUUAAAGCCCUUAGGAGCCUACUGGGCUGAAGACCUCCAAAGACAAUGCCUAAUCUGCCUUAGAAACUCAGUGUUUCUAAGAAUACUCGCUGCCAGGAAGUUCGCCGUUGUGAGUAAGUUUGGGCUCCCCUCACACCCAUUUCCUCCAGCUCUGAGCUCGGGUGGAGAGGGACUCUGGGUACACGGUCCAGCCCGGCCACACGGGUCGGCACCAGCCCAGCCC